AGAGUUUGAUCCUGGCUCAGGAUGAACGCUGGCGGCGUGCUUAACACAUGCAAGUCGAGCGAGAAAAGUUCUUCGGAGCUUUUCUAGCGGCGGACGGGUGAGUAACACGUGGGCAACCUGCCUCAUAGAGGGGAAUAGCCUUUCGAAAGGAAGAUUAAUACCGCAUAAUAUUGUUGAAAGGCAUCUUUUAACAAUCAAAGGAGCAAUCCGCUAUGAGAUGGGCCCGCGGCGCAUUAGCUAGUUGGUGAGGUAACGGCUCACCAAGGCGACGAUGCGUAGCCGACCUGAGAGGGUGAUCGGCCACAUUGGAACUGAGACACGGUCCAGACUCCUACGGGAGGCAGCAGUGGGGAAUAUUGCACAAUGGGGGAAACCCUGAUGCAGCAACGCCGCGUGAGUGAUGAAGGUCUUCGGAUUGUAAAGCUCUGUCUUUAGGGACGAUAAUGACGGUACCUAAGGAGGAAGCCACGGCUAACUACGUGCCAGCAGCCGCGGUAAUACGUAGGUGGCAAGCGUUAUCCGGAUUUACUGGGCGUAAAGGGAGCGUAGGCGGAUAUUUAAGUGGGAUGUGAAAUACCCGAGCUUAACUUGGGAGCUGCAUUCCAAACUGGAUAUCUAGAGUGCAAGAGAGGAGAAUGGAAUUCCUAGUGUAGCGGUGAAAUGCGUAGAGAUUAGGAAGAACACCAGUGGCGAAGGCGAUUCUCUGGACUGUAACUGACGCUGAGGCUCGAAAGCGUGGGGAGCAAACAGGAUUAGAUACCCUGGUAGUCCACGCAGUAAACGAUGAUAACUAACCGUCGGCGAUACACAGUCGGUGGCCAAGCGAAAGCGAUAAGUUAUCCACCUGGGGAGUACGUUCGCAAGAAUGAAACUCAAAGGAAUUGACGGGGGCCCGCACAAGCGGAGGAACAUGUGGUUUAAUUCGAUGAUACGCGAGGAACCUUACCUGGGCUCGAACGGCAUAUGAACGGAACAGAGAUGAUUCGGUCCUUCGGGACAUAUGUCGAGGUGCUGCAUGGUUGUCGUCAGCUCGUGUCGUGAGAUGUUGGCUUAAGUGCCAUAACGAGCGCAACCCUUGCCGAUAGUUACCAUCAAGUAAAGUUGGGGACUCUAUCGGGACUGCCACCGCAAGGUGAGAGGAAGGCGGGGAUGACGUCAAAUCAGCACGGCCCUUACGUCCGGGGCGACACACGUGUUACAAUGGUAGCUACAGAGGGAAGCCAGCUGGUGACAGUGAGCGGAUCUCGAAAAGCUAUCUCAGUUCGGAUUGGAGUCUGCAACUCGACUCCAUGAAGCUGGAUUCGCUAGUAAUCGCGCAUCAGCCAUGGCGCGGUGAAUACGUUCCCGGGCCUUGUACUAACCGCCCGUCA
rnacentral:rRNA from 1 species